rnacentral:rRNA from 1 species
UACGUAGGGGGGCAAGCGUUGUCCGGAAUUAUUGGGCGUAAAGAGCUCGUAGGCGGUGUGUCACGUCGGCCGUGAAAACCUGGGGCUUAACUCUGGGCGUGCGGUCGAUACGGGCAUCACUAGAGUUCGGCAGGGGAGACUGGAAUUCCUGGUGUAGCGGUGAAAUGCGCAGAUAUCAGGAGGAACACCGGUGGCGAAGGCGGGUCUCUGGGCCGAUACUGACGCUGAGGAGCGAAAGCAUGGGUAGCGAACAGG